UCUAAUACGAGUCUGUUUUCAACGUGUGCUACAUAUUAUAUGUUGGCAAAUAGCAAUAUAAGUAAAUAGUUAUUGAAUAGAACAAAAUAGGAAUCCAAUCUGUAAAGCUACAUGGGAUUCUCGGAGUCUGGACACGCGAUGCAACUUUAAAACAUAUUCCGUAAUCGAAUAUCAAGAUCGUAGGAUAAGGAUCACCAAGCUGAAGUGGCAAUGGGCAAGUCACAUAGCUCAAGGAACUGACAACUAAUAAGGAAGAAAGUUUCUCGAGUAGCGAUCCCGUACGCGCAAACGCAGUGUAGUACGACCUCUCCGUUAGAUGGCAUAACGAUCUCAAAUGCAUUACAAGAACUCAGUCGAUGCAGGUGGUUCAAUGGAGGACGUCUAUAUGCAGCAGUGGACAGUGUGAAACGGAGGAGGACCGCUUGUCUACCAAUGUGAUAACCCUAUGUCGUCGCUCAAAUAUUUUUGUAUAUGUAUUAUUGUUGCAG